rnacentral:rRNA from 1 species
UACAGAGGUCUCAAGCGUUGUUCGGGAUUCAUUGGGCGUAAAGGGUGCGUAGGUGGCUAUGUAAGUCAGUGGUGAAAGCCCGCGGCUCAACCGUGGAAUUGCCAUUGAAACUGCAUAGCUUGAGUACAGUUGAAGUGGGCGGAAUAACAUCAUGUAGCGGUGAAAUGCUUAGAUAUGAUGUAGAACACCGAUUGCGAAGGCAGCUCACUAAGCUGUAACUGGACACUGAGGCACGAAAGCGUGGGUAGCCGAACAGG